rnacentral:rRNA from 1 species
CCCUUAGAUGUUCUGGGCUGCACGCGCGCUACACUGAUGCACUCAACGAGUUUACGACCUUGCCCGAUAGGGUUGGGUAAUCUUUUUAAAAUGCAUCGUGAUGGGGAUAGAUUAUUGCAAUUAUUAAUCUUCAACGAGGAAUUCCUAGUAAGCGCGAGUCAUCAGCUCGUGCUGAUUACGUCCCUGCCCUUUGUACACACCGCCCGUCGCUCCUACCGAUUGAGUGCUCAGGUGAAUAAUUCGGACUGUAGCAAUGUUUGGAUCCCGAACGUUGCAGCGGAAAGUUUAGUGAACCUUAUCACUUAGAGGAAGGAGAAGUCGUAACA